UGUGGCUUAGUUUUCAGGGCCCUUUCCCUGAUGUCUGCCCUGAGGCUCCCAAGUGAGGUGGCUGAGAAGGAUCUGCAGACUGUUUCCUGUGCCACUUAGGACAGGUUUCCGGCCUCAGCAGCCAAUCUAUUCAUCUAGGAAUGUUUCAAACCUAACUCCUUUAAAAUCUACUGUGAUCCGCACUUCACCUGGAUGUCUGCCAGCUAUUAUGGUCUCCUAAGAUGGCAGACAUCAAAAGAUGCCACCUUCAUUUAGACUGGGCCUUCCCACUUCAUCUAACCUAAUCAAGAAAAUUUCUUCAAGUAACUGAUGAAGAAAAUGUCUGACAGCUUACCUCUUGGUUGUUUACAGAUCCAGUGCAGAUUGACUUCAAGGCUCUUGGAAGAUUGGAAAAGGACAAAAAGACCCAGUAACAUGUUUGGACUUGAAAAUCAGAACAAGCAGGCAAUCUGUAGAGCUAUCUUGGAAAUAAGCUAUGAAAAGAUAACAUCCCCACCUUGUGAUCUUGGCAGAACCCUUCCUACACUG
rnacentral:lncRNA from 1 species